GGCAAGAUCAGAUGCACAAAGCAUUUUUUUAUAUUAAAAAAAAAAAAUCACAACUUUGAAAAGUGUGGAACAAAUAAUGGGAAGACGUGUAAGCACCCUGCAAUCAAAGGUGGGUUAAUAGAGGAUGAAUUCUCCCUGUCAUAUAACUGCCCUGUAAACAAAUAAAAAUGAAUGCUCAAUAAAGACCAGGUUUGGGUCACAUUCACACCAUACAUUCAGACCAUGUGACCCCCCCCCCCCCGGGAAUCCUAGGAAUUGCAGUUUGUUAAGGAUGCUAUGACUUGCAGCUCUGUGGUGGAUGAACUACGGUUCUUUGAGGGAAGCCAUGUGCUUAAUAUAUGGUUUUAAAUGUAAGAUGUGGACGUGACCCCAUAGCCCAACCACCACAUAAGCUUCAUGCAAGCAAAUCAGGAUGAAGGCUGAAUAAACAGGGCUUCUGGAGGAACAUCCGGACUGGAACAUCAUCUGUCUUAUGCCAGGUCAGACUGUCUAUAACCAGCCCAGUCUUCUCUCUUCUGCCUCUUCAGGACUUCAGAGAGAGACCACCCCCUGCUUCUUUUCAUUGGAGACACCAGAUUUUGAACCUCUUCCCCACUCCUCACUCACCACCAACCACAAUGGUUUUUUGUUUGAGGAAGGCAGGGGUGGUGCGUCCCAUUUCGCUGCCUGAGGUAAAAUGGGAAGAUGCUACCUGAGGUAAAACGGGGAGGGGCCAGCUGAGGCAAAACAGGAAGGUGCCACUCCACCCCUGCCAAAAUAUGGCCCUAUAAAGCGGGGGGGGGGAAAUAAAGAAAAGAGAUGGAGCCUGCAAAACUGUACCCAUGGAAGAAACCAGCGCAUACUUUAUUACCAGAGCUGCUGGGGAUUACGGGGCAAGAGCCUGGGGAGACAAUUCUGAGGAGGAGAGUCUCCAAUACAUACAUAGGCAGAGGAAAUAAUAGCAAUAACCAAAACUAGAAGAAGAGGGGCCAUUAACUGUUUAUUCUGAUAAGCUCAAUACACUUUGGUCAGGAAACCUGUUUUCAGCUCAAAGAGCCAUACAGAGGGUUGUCCAAUGCUAGUCCUAUUUCACAGUAGACCCACUAAAAGGAAUGGGGCUAAAUUAGUCAUCCCCAAUCAUUUCAAUGGGUCUAAGCUGAGUAGGACUGGAUUGGAUAUUCUUUUGCACUGCUUUUCGGGCACUGCUUCCAGCUUUUCCUCUCCUCUUUCUCUUUUUAACGUUCAAAAGACAGGGUGGUUUCAAAAAAGGUUCUUCCUGCUUGCGAAUCCCCAUGCUGUGAGUGGAACCAUCAACCCCCCCUCAGUGUUUAUACCUCCAUUUAACAGAUGUGCAGUCUGAGCCCCAGAGCAAAUGCCAAGCCCAGCUAGUGGGUUAACUUUCCCUGCCUCUGGGUUAAUAAAAUUACAAAGCUGAAUUAAUACUCCAGGACAACAAAAGCGGGCUCUUGUGUGCUUCUUGAACUCCUUAAAAACCAGGCCAGCCAGGCAGCCUCAGACAAGCUCUAAGUCGGGGUAAGGAAUCUGUGGCCCUCCAACCAUUGGAGGACUCCAACUCCCAUCAGCCUCAGUCAGCACAGCCAAUGCUUAGGGAUGAUGGAAGUUGGGAGUCGAACAGCAACACUGGCAGGGACAUAAUUGCACACAUACAAACAUGCCACAGCUGUAAGCAAAGCUCUGCUCUCAUGUGGGACCUGCUUAC
rnacentral:lncRNA from 1 species